GAGAAAGGCUGUGGGGUUAGUGGUUCCUCCUACAGAAAUACCCAUUCCACACCGAGCUGAACCCAGCCAUUCCUCCAUGGCUUCUACUUCAGUAGCAUAUGCAGUUUUCAGGAUGUGUUCCUGAGUCUCGUGAGUAGCACAUGGCAGUUGUUGUCACCUUGGGCUGAGCCGUGAAGAUUCUCACCCUCCCUUGUUGGGGAUGAACUCCGGGAUUCUAAGGAGAGGUCAGCAGGUGUUUCACAGACUGUUCCUGUUGGAGGAUUUGUCUGAUACUCUUCUCCUGAUUAGUCUGGGCUCUACAUUUCCCCAAGGGUGAAACUUGGAAGCCCUCUCCAGGAUGCAGCAGGUAGCUGAGGAGAAAACGAAGACUGACCAGCCCAGAGCUCAGAGCUUCCUCCCAUGCUCAGGAUUUACCACCAAUGCCAUUACAUCG
ensembl:processed_transcript